CAACGUCUCUAGGGUGUAGAGCCAGGAUCCCUCAGUUGGCUCGAGGAGUGCAGGGAGCCUGUGGCAUCGCGUCCGAAGACCUCCGCUCACACGUGUGCCGUCCCAACCGUCACCUCCAAAGCCCCUCUAAGAGGUCCUGACGGCCUCGACCUCCCCUCUUCAGAAGGAAGGGCAACAAGGUCUGAGUGGCUCCUCCUCAGCCCUGUGUGCUUGCAUCAGCCAGCACAACCAAGUGGUGUCUGACCACGCUGGCCUCUUGGCUCUGACUCUCAAGUGUCGAGCAUAGGCUGUUGGCUGUGUCUCUAUCUGCGUCCACCUGGGAGAAGCCGCAGCCUGACCCUUGCCCAUCUCCUGCAGGCCAGGCCCUGCUCUCAGCACCAACCACCCUUCCCAGAGCUUUCUCAUGGAUUUGCUUCUCCAUCUCCAUUUAUUUACUUUCAACC
rnacentral:lncRNA from 1 species